rnacentral:rRNA from 1 species
UACAGAGGGGGCAAGCGUUGUUCGGAAUUACUGGGCGUAAAGGGCGCGUAGGCGGCCUGCUAAGUCGAACGUGAAAUCCCCGGGCUCAACCCGGGAACUGCGUCCGAUACUGGUGGGCUUGAAUCCGGGAGAGGGAUGUGGAAUUCCAGGUGUAGCGGUGAAAUGCGUAGAUAUCGGGAGGAACACCAGUGGCGAAGGCGACUACCUGGCCUGUUCUUGACGCUGAGGCGCGAAAGCUAGGGGAGCAAACGGG